GUCUGAGAAUUAGGCAGAUCUAUUCACGGCCUGGCUAGGCUUGUUCUAGCUUUUCUGGGCUACAGGCCUUUUCUCGGGGGCUGGCGGUGUUUGGUGCUGAUCUGCGGAGGUGUAGCCCCUCCAAAGGGCAAGCAGGCCUGUGCAGGGACAGCCCCUGCGGUGGUAGCCUUCAUGCAAUUGUUGAGUCCAGCCCUCCUGGAUGGCAGGCAGCCCCAGGUCCAGUGAGAGCAUAGGGGGUGGCGGGUGUGGGGAGAGGUGAUGCACUGGGAAGCACAGCUUUCAGCUAGCUAGUGGGCCGGUAAGCUUGCUGUGGCAUGGGGGGUAUUCUAUGGGGACCCCCCCCUUCUUCUCUCCCCUCCCCAGCACGGGCGCAGACCAGGCUCUUCUCCCAGGUUCCCUCUGAGGCAGCUUUCCACUUCCCUGCCCCUAGAGUAUUGUUCAAUUCCUCUGCGACAGCUUUGUUUUCUAGUCUCCCAGGCAGUCUCUGCCCCGUCAAAUGGUUUCUAGACCUCCCAAGCAGUUUCCGCUCCGCCCCGCCCCCCCAGCCCGGGGACUAAUCUCUGGAGCCGAGGUCUCGGUGCCCAGCCCCCACCCAGGCGUCUCAAUUUUUGGUGACUGUGCCUGUAGUUCAGAUGGUCCGUUCGGUUCUUGAUCGGCUUUUCCAUACUCCAACUUACUGCUACACUCUUCUCUGCAUCUUGAGAUUGCUCCGGUUCGUUUGAUCUUUCCCCCGUGUAGGUGACUUUCCAGGGUGCGGGAUCCUUUUCUCCUCUGCGGGAUCCUUUUCUCCUCUCCCUUUUGGGAGUGCCCGUCCCGCUCAGAUUCACCUUCUCUCACUCUCUUCUUUUCUCCUGUUCUGCCCAUAAUGUCACGAACUUCUUGCCGUUAUUGGAGUUUAGGUUCUUCUGCCAGCGAUUGGUUGCUGUUCUGUGCGAGUCAUUUAUUCUGUAGAUGUGCUUUUUUUGUUGUGUUUGUGGGAGAGGGUGAGCGUGUCCCCCUACUCCUCCGCCAUCUUGUCUGGAGUCUAUUUUACUUUGAUUCUUAUUAGGUCACAUGAAAAUUCUAUAUAUUUAUAAGUAUACAUUAUAGCUACAUUUUUUGGAACAAGAUAUUCAUAUAGGCUUUUGUUAAUAACAUAAGAACCUUAAGACCAUGAAAAAAAAUAAAAAUAUUUUCCAUGGUAGCGUUUUUUUUUGGUAACAAUGAAAACCAAGUCUUAUUUAACAGAAUUGUGAAUCGUCACAGAUAUGUGCCUGGAGACAGGGAACUUGGGGAUAAUUACGAGGACAUAAUAGGCACCAAGGCCUCUGCAGCUUGUACAUCAUGUGCUCUGGCAGCAGGCAUUACCUUCACAGCUACUGAUACUUCAUUGUAUUUGAGUGUGAGUUGUCAAUCUACAAACAUAAUGCAUGGAGAGGAAAGAAAUUAUGUAAUUAUAAAUUAGAAAACAUAUGAGACUGUAAAAUUAUGAAUUUUAAGAGAUCACUGCAAAUAUGAUAUUGCAUGAUAAUACUUGAUCCUGGUAUAUAACUAGUUAGAAUUAUUCUUGAGAGAAAGCCACGUUUCUAUAAAAAAUAAUAUAGCAGGACUUAACUCUUUUGUCAUGUGGACACCAUUAAUAUAUUCCUAACAAUUAAGUUUAGUAUUUUUAGUAUCUCAAUCUCCCCUUUUCUUACAUUGUUAGAAAAGGCACAUGGUCUAUAAUUUAGGUAGGAGAAAAUCAACAGUCCUAAGAGUUUCCAGUUCCUGGGUCUAUGUGAACAUGGUAAAACCCUUCCCAUCCUCUGGUAUCAGUUUUUUUGUUUUGUUUUGUUUUAAAUUUACGAAAUGAAAACUUCUGGGUGAUUACUUUCUUCUAUUUCUAUUGCUUA
rnacentral:lncRNA from 1 species